rnacentral:tRNA from 1 species
GGGGCCGUAGCUCAGUUGGUAGAGCGCUGCGUUCGCAAUGCAGAGGUCAGGGGUUCGACUCCCCUCGGCUCCACCA